UGAUUAUUGUACCUCCUGUUGCUUCGGCGCGGCCCCCCGGGGCCCGCCGGAGACAUCUUCUCGAACGCUGUCUUUGAAAAGGAUUGCUGUCUGAGUAAACAUACCAAAUCGGUUAAAACUUUCAACAACGGAUCUCUUGGUUCCGGCAUCGAUGAAGAACGCAGCGAAAUGCGAUAAGUAAUGUGAAUUGCAGAAUUCAGUGAAUCAUCGAAUCUUUGAACGCACAUUGCGCCCCCUGGUAUUCCGGGGGGCAUGCCUGUCCGAGCGUCAUUACUGCCCCUCAAGCGCGGCUUGUGUGUUGGGCCGCCGUCCCCUGCGCCUCCGGGCAAGGGGGACGGGCCCGAAAGGCAGUGGCGGCGCCGCGUCCGGUCCUCGAGCGUAUGGGGCUUUGUCACCCGCUCAGUAGGUCGGGCCGGGGCCUUUGCCCUCUCCAACCUUUUUUUCCUUAGGUUGACCUCGGAUCAGGUAGGGAUACCCGCUGAACUUAAGCAUA
rnacentral:rRNA from 1 species